UCUGAUACCGGAUUAUGGUAUAGUAACACUAGUGCUUUGUGUCAUUUGUAGUCUAUUGUAAACAACCGUUACGUGCUGUCUGGCUCGUUACACUGCCUAGUCCCAGGAGCUGUGUGUCCGACGGCAGUGAGGCUUUCCUUCACCGUGUGCUGUGUUAUGCUGUGUGAGCACCACUGAUAAAAUCACGGGUAUUGGAGUGAGUGUGUGUGUGCGUGUGUGCACUUAGUGUGAUUCUCCUCUUUUGCUCCCUCUCUUAGCCUAUCUGAUGCCAAUAGGCUACAGCUCUGAAACAAUUGUGAAUCCUUAUUGUGGAUUGUGAUUUCCAGCUUUAGUAAUUUGCUGGGUGACUAUUAUUCCUGCAUUUUAAACUUUUGUACAAAUAAACAAACUCUAUUUUGCUACCCACGUCUCUUGCUCAUUUUAUUCAGUGGAAUGUACCUGGGUUCCUUAUAAUAUUUUAAGUGAACUGAUUCCCUGGUCUAGUCCCAGGGUGGCGUAGUCUAUUGUAUAUCUUUUGAGUAUUGAAUAUUACUGCAAAAAGACCACUUUGCCACAUUUUGGCGUAGUCGGCAGGGCUCCACUAAAUUGAACAGAGACGUGGGGGAAUAUUACUUUACCAGCUGGUAUUGCCAUUAUUUGUUUUCUUAUCAUUUCACAGGAACAAGACAGCAGCGUAGACUCUCUUUGAAGGGUCUCUUUGGCCAUCUCUCCUGAUUGUGUUUCAGGUCCAAAUUUACUUCCUGCCCCGCCUUGCCUGGUGGAGCUGUGUGUCCGACGGCAGUGAGGCUUUCCUUCACCGUGUGCUGUGUUAUGCUGUGUGAGCACCACUGAUAAAAUCACGGGUAUUGGAGUGAGUGUGUGUGUGCGUGUGUGCACUUAGUGUGAUUCUCCUCUUUUGCUCCCUCUCUUAGCCUAUCUGAUGCCAAUAGGCUACAGCUCUGAAACAAUUGUGAAUCCUUAUUGUGGAUUGUGAUUUCCAGCUUUAGUAAUUUGCUGGGUGACUAUUAUUCCUGCAUUUUAAACUUUUGUACAAAUAAACAAACUCUAUUUUGCUACCCACGUCUCUUGCUCAUUUUAUUCAGUGGAAUGUACCUGGGUUCCUUAUAAUAUUUUAAGUGAACUGAUUCCCUGGUCUAGUCCCAGGGUGGCGUAGUCUAUUGUAUAUCUUUUG